AUUGAACGCUGGCGGCAUGCCUUACACAUGCAAGUCGAACGGUAACAGGUUAAGCUGACGAGUGGCGAACGGGUGAGUAACAUAUCGGAACGUGCUCCGUAGGGGGGGAUAACGUAGCGAAAGCUACGCUAAUACCGCAUACGAUCUAAGGAUGUAAGCGGGGGAUCGCAAGAACCCGCGAGCAUUGAGCGGGCGAUAUCAGAUUAGGUUGUUGGUGAGGUAAAAGCUCACCAAGCGUGCGAUCUGUAGCUGGUCUGAGAGGACGACCAGCCACACUGGAACUGAGACACGGUCCAGACUCCUACGGGAGGCAGCAGUGGGGAAUUUUGGACAAUGGACGCAAGUCUGAUCCAGCAAUGCCGCGUGCAGGACGAAGGCCUUCGGGUUGUAAACUGCUUUUGUACGGAACGAAACGGUGAGCUCUAAUACAGUUUGCUAAUGACGGUACCGUAAGAAUAAGCACCGGCUAACUACGUGCCAGCAGCCGCCGUAA
rnacentral:rRNA from 1 species